GUGGGGAAUUUUGGACAAUGGGCGAAAGCCUGAUCCAGCAAUGCCGCGUGUGUGAAGAAGGCCUUCGGGUUGUAAAGCACUUUUGUCCGGAAAGAAAUGGCUCUGGUUAAUACCUGGGGUCGAUGACGGUACCGGAAGAAUAAGGACCGGCUAACUACGUGCCAGCAGCCGCGGUAAUACGUAGGGUCCAAGCGUUAAUCGGAAUUACUGGGCGUAAAGCGUGCGCAGGCGGUUGUGCAAGACCGAUGUGAAAUCCCCGAGCUUAACUUGGGAAUUGCAUUGGUGACUGCACGGCUAGAGUGUGUCAGAGGGGGGUAGAAUUCCACGUGUAGCAGUGAAAUGCGUAGAGAUGUGGAGGAAUACCGAUGGCGAAGGCAGCCCCCUGGGAUAACACUGACGCUCAUGCACGAAAGCGUGGGGAGCAAACAGGAUUAGAAACCCUAGUAGUCC
rnacentral:rRNA from 1 species